UUACUUGGUAUGCACACACAUCGCAAUUUGUUUUUGAUAUUGCAUAUUAGAGUUUGGAAGUUGGUAUGAUAACGUAUAAAAACAUCAGGCGAAAGACGCACGCAAUUUUUGACGAUUUGCACACAUUCGCGAUAAUCUUUCUGCUAUGAUUCUUUGUCUAAAUAAUUAUAUAUGUAUGUAAUUUAUUAUACUACAUUUGUAAAUACAUAUAGUUAAAUCAGCCUACGUGGUGGCUUUAAAUCAUUUUUGUAUAAAUUAGGAAUUAUAUAACUGGCUAAAAUGAUUUUAAGAGAAUGCAGUUUAAAUCGACAAAAUUCAUAGCGCAAUCGAAAAAAUGUAUUUGUGCUCGGCUAUAGUGAUGUUCAUUUUAAUAUCAAUAACUUUUGGUGCGGGUAUAUAUACCGGAAUAUACAUAAGUCAAAAUUAUGAGGUUCCUCGUGUUGAUGAGCCUGGCAAGCUGGUGGAUAAAAUAAAAGAAUUUGCCGACGAACACCGAAAAAACUCUUUCGCCCAUAAAAAUACGCAAAAUGUGCCCAGAUAAAAAGUCCAAAAUACCCUGAUAGCAAAUUAAACUUUAGAACUCAAAUUAACAACAAUCAAUCACACAACUUGCCAAUUUUAUGGGUCUUCAAAACUAGAAUUGGUCUGUGGCCGAGCAACUAAUUUAUGAUGCAAAGAAAAAUGCGAAAAAACUCAUUGAUUAACUUAUUCACGGCGCGUUUCUACUUUGAUUUCAUAUAAAUACUGGAAAGCUAAUAAUUGUUUUAAUUACUUUACUUUUAUUAUUUUUAUUUUCAUUAUACCACUUAUAUUUUUAUUUCCCAUUUAGCGCUUCCGAGAUACUCACAUAACUUAAAUAUAGUAUACUGAAUUUAAGAAAAUAAAACUAUUGCAUUCAGUUGACUAAAAAUUGUA